UGCAUGUCUAAGUGCAAGCCAAAUUAAGGUGAAACCGCGGAAGGCUCAUUAUAUCAGUUAUGGUUCAAUAGAUCGUACUCAGUUACUUGGAUAACUGCGGAAAUACUGGAGCUAAUACAUGCCAACAGAGUCCCGACCGGAGACGGAAGGGACGCUUUUAUUAGAUCAAAACCAAUCGGUGGCUUCGGCCAUCGUGCAGUCUGGUGACUCUGAAUAACUUUGGGCUGAUCGCACGGCCUUCGUGCCGGCGACGCAUCUUUCAAAUGUCUGCCUUAUCAACUGUCGAUGGUAGGUUCUGCGCCUACCAUGGUUGUAACGGGUAACGGGGAAUCAGGGUUCGAUUCCGGAGAGGGAGCCUGAGAAACGGCUACCACAUCCAAGGAAGGCAGCAGGCGCGCAAAUUACCCACUCCCGGCUCGGGGAGGUAGUGACGAAAGAUAACGAUACGGGACUCAUCCGAGGCCCCGUAAUCGGAAUGACUACACUUUAAAUCCUUUAAGGAGUAUCAAUUGGAGGGCAAGUCUGGUGCCAGCAGCCGCGGUAAUUCCAGCUCCAAUAGCGUAUAUUAAAGUUGUUGCGGUUAAAAAGCUCGUAGUUGGAUCUGUGUCCCGCACCGUCGGUUCACCGCCCGACGGUGUCAAACUGACGCGAUGCGGGACGUCCUGCCGGUGGCGUGUCUAGCUGGGCCGUGCCUUUCGGGGUGCGGUUUGGGCGGCGCCGAUUCAAUCCCGUCGCGGUGCUCUUCACUGAGUGUCGAGGUGGGCCGGCACGUUUACUUUGAACAAAUUAGAGUGCUUCAAGCAGGCUGGAUAUUGCCUGAAUGCUAGUGCAUGGAAUAAUGGAAUAGGACCUCGGUUCUAUUUUGUUGGUUUUCGGAACCAGAGGUAAUGA
rnacentral:rRNA from 1 species